rnacentral:rRNA from 1 species
GAUGAACGCUGGCGGCGUGCCUAAUACAUGCAAGUCGAGCGAACAGACGAGGAGCUUGCUCCUCUGACGUUAGCGGCGGACGGGUGAGUAACACGUGGAUAACCUACCUAUAAGACUGGGAUAACUUCGGGAAACCGGAGCUAAUACCGGAUAAUAUAUUGAACCGCAUGGUUCAAUAGUGAAAGACGGUUUUGCUGUCACUUAUAGAUGGAUCCGCGCCGCAUUAGCUAGUUGGUAAGGUAACGGCUUACCAAGGCGACGAUGCGUAGCCGACCUGAGAGGGUGAUCGUCGACACUGGAACUGAGACACGGUCCAGACUCCUACGGGUGCCAGCAGUAGGGAAUCUUCCGCAAGGGGCGAAAGCCGGACGGAGCAACGCCGCGUGAGUGAUGAAGGUCUUCGGAUCGUAAAACUCUGUUAUUAGGGAAGAACAAAUGUGUAAGUAACUAUGCACGUCUUGACGGUACCUAAUCAGAAAGCCACGGCUAACUACGUG